GAUGAGAACGUAGCGAAAUGCGAUAACUAAUGUGAAUUGCAGAAUUCAGUGAAUCAUCGAGUCUUUGAACGCACAUUGCGCCCCCUGGUAUUCCGGGGGGCAUGCCUGUCCGAGCGUCAUUGCUGCCCUCAAGCACGGCUUGUGUGUUGGGCUCCGUCCCCCCGGGGACGGGCCCGAAAGGCAGCGGCGGCACCGAGUCCGGUCCUCGAGCGUAUGGGGCUUUGUCACCCGCUCUGUAGGCCCGGCCGGCGCCAGCCGACAACCCAUCAUCCUUUUCAGGUUGACCUCGGAUCAGGUAGGGAUACCCGCUGAACUUAAGCAUAUCAAUAAGCGGAGGA
rnacentral:misc_RNA from 1 species